AUGGCGUUGUGCGGGAGAUGGGGGGAGGCCGUCGUGGUGGUGGGGCUGGACUUUGCGGCCUGCGACGAGGCGGCCGUCGACGCCGCGGUGGCGGCGGCAUGGCGCUGCUUUGGCCACGGCGGGCUCAACACCCUGGUUAACUGCUGCUCCUAUGAAGGGGAAGUGCAAGACUGCCUCAGUGUAAUUGAAGAUGAGUACUCACACCUUGGCUGCUAA
rnacentral:rRNA from 1 species